rnacentral:rRNA from 1 species
AGCAGCCGCGGUAAUUCCAGCUCCAAUAGCGUAUAUUAAAGUUGCUGCAGUUAAAAAGCUCGUAGUUGAAUUUCGGGACCAUCAUGUCGGUCGUGCCUCGGUACGUACUGGCAUUGUUGGUUUCUACCUUCUGACGAACCAUGAUGUCAUUUAUUUGGUGUCGUGGGAAAUCAGGACUGUUACUUUGAAAAAUUAGAGUGUUUAAAGCAGGCUCACGCUUGAAUACAUUAGCAUGGAAUAAUGAAAUAGGACGUUUGAUUCUAUUUUGUUGGUUUCUAGGAUCGACGUAAUGAUUAAUAGGGAUAGUUGGGGGCAUUAGUAUUCAAUUGUCAGAGGUGAAAUUCUUGGAUUUAUUGAAGACUAACUACUGCGAAAGCAUUUGCCAAGGAUGUUUUCAUUAAUCAAGAACGAAAGUUAGGGGAUCGAAGACGAUCAGAUACCGUCGUAGUCUUAACCAUAAACUAUGCCGACUAGGGAUCGGAUGAUGUUAACUUUUUAAUGA